rnacentral:rRNA from 1 species
UACUGCUCAGUAACACGUGGAUAACCUGCCCUUGGGUCCGGCAUAACCCCGGGAAACUGGGGAUAAUUCCGGAUAACGCACAUAUGCUGGAAUGCUUUAUGCGUAAAAUGGAUUCGUCUGCCCAAGGAUGGGUCUGCGGCCUAUCAGGUAGUAGUGGGUGUAAUGUACCUACUAGCCUACAACGGGUACGGGUUGUGAGAGCAAGAGCCCGGAGAUGGAUUCUGAGACAUGAAUCCAGGCCCUACGGGGCGCAGCAGGCGCGAAAACUUUACAAUGCGGGAAACCGUGAUAAGGGGACACCGAGUGCCAGCAUCAUAUGCUGGCUGUCCAGGUGUGUAAAAUACACCUGUUAGCAAGGGCCGGGCAAGACCGGUGCCAGCCGCCGCGGUAACACCGGCGGCCCGAGUGGUGAUCGUGAUUAUUGGGUCUAAAGGGUCCGUAGCCGGUUUGGUCAGUCCUCCGGGAAAUCUGACGGCUCAACCGUUAGGCUUUCGGGGGAUACUGCCAGGCUUGGAACCGGGAGAGGUAAGAGGUACUACAGGGGUAGGAGUGAAAUCUUGUAAUCCCUGUGGGACCACCUGUGGCGAAGGCGUCUUACCAGAACGGGUUCGACGGUGAGGGACGAAAGCUGGGGGCACGAACCGGAUUAGAUACCCGGGUAGUCCCAGCCGUAAACGAUGCUCGCUAGGUGUCAGGCAUGGCGCGACCGUGUCUGGUGCCGCAGGGAAGCCGUGAAGCGAGCCACCUGGGAAGUACGGCCGCAAGGCUGAAACUUAAAGGAAUUGGCGGGGGAGCACA